rnacentral:rRNA from 1 species
UACAGAGGGUGCGAGCGUUGUCCGGAAUCACUGGGCGUAAAGGGCGCGUAGGCGGCUUCUCACGCGUGCGGUGAAAGCCCGGGGCUCAACCCCGGGUCGGCCGUGCGGACGGGGAGGCUGGAGUCUGGUAGAGGCCGAUGGAAUUCCGGGUGUAGCGGUGGAAUGCGUAGAGAUCCGGAAGAACACCAGUGGCGAAGGCGGUCGGCUGGGCCAGCAUCCGUGAGGAUGGCCGGUGCAAACCGGUACUGACGCUGAGGCGCGACAGCGUGGGGAGCAAACAGG